AGCCAGAGGACCAUGGCCGGCCAGGGGGACUGCUGCGUCAAGGUGGCCGUCAGGAUUCGGCCCCAACUGUCAAAGGAGAAGAUUGAGGGCUGUCACAUCUGCACCUCUGUCACCCCCGGGGAGCCCCAGGUCCUUCUGGGGAAGGACAAGGCCUUCACCUAUGACUUUGUCUUCGACCUGGACACCUGGCAGGAACAGAUCUACUCGACCUGCGUGAGCAAGCUCAUCGAGGGCUGCUUCGAGGGCUACAAUGCCACGGUGCUGGCCUACGGGCAGACAGGAGCCGGGAAGACAUACACCAUGGGCACCGGCUUCGACACGGCGACGUCAGAGGAGGAGCAGGGCAUCAUUCCCAGGGCCAUCGCACACCUCUUUGGGGGCAUUGCUGAGCGCAAGCGGCGGGCACAGGAGCAGGGUGUGGCUGGGCCUGAGUUCAAAGUCAGCGCGCAGUUCCUAGAGCUCUACAAUGAGGAGAUCCUUGACCUGUUCGAUAGCACCCGUGACCCUGAUGCCCGCCACCGUAGGUCCAACAUCAAGAUCCACGAGGAUGGCAAUGGUGGCAUCUACACCACAGGUGUCACCUCCCGCCUCAUCAAUUCCCAGGAGGAGCUGAUCCAGUGCCUGAAGCAGGGGGCCCUGUCCCGCACCACGGCCAGCACCCAGAUGAACGUGCAGAGCUCCCGCUCACACGCCAUCUUCACCAUCCAUGUGUGCCAGAUGCGCGUGUGCACCCAGCCCGAGCCAGUGAAUGAGGCGGUGACUGGGCUUCCUGAGGGCACCGCUCCCACCAGUGAGUAUGAGACACUCACCGCCAAGUUUCACUUCGUGGACCUGGCUGGCUCCGAGCGGCUGAAGCGGACGGGGGCCACCGGCGAGCGGGCCAAGGAGGGCAUCUCCAUCAACUGCGGCCUGCUGGCCUUGGGCAACGUGAUCAGCGCCUUGGGGGACCAGAGCAAGAAGGUGGUCCAUGUGCCCUACAGGGACUCCAAGCUCACUCGGCUCCUCCAGGACUCGCUGGGGGGCAACAGCCAGACCAUCAUGAUCGCCUGCGUGAGCCCCUCCGACCGGGACUUCAUGGAGACGCUCAACACGCUCAAGUACGCCAACCGGGCCCGCAACAUCAAGAACAAGGUGGUGGUGAACCAGGACAAGACGAGCCAGCAGAUCAGCGCGCUGCGGGCCGAGAUCGCGCGCCUGCAGAUGGAGCUGAUGGAGUACAAGGCGGGCAAGAGGGUGAUCGGGGAGGAUGGUGCCGAGGGCUACAGCGACCUGUUCCGGGAGAAUGCCAUGCUGCAGAAGGAGAACGGGGCGCUGCGCCUGCGGGUGAAGGCCAUGCAGGAGGCCAUUGACGCCAUCAACAACCGCGUCACUCAUCUCAUGAGCCAGGAAGCCAACCUGCUCCUGGCCAAGGCCGGUGAUGGCAACGAAGCCAUUGGCGCUCUGAUCCAGAACUACAUCCGGGAGAUCGAGGAGCUGCGGACGAAGCUCCUGGAGAGCGAGGCCAUGAAUGAGUCCCUGCGCCGCAGCCUGUCCCGGGCCUCGGCGCGGAGCCCCUACUCCCUGGGCGCGUCUCCGGCUGCCGCGGCCUUCGGGGGCAGCCCGGCCAGCUCCAUGGAGGAUGCCUCGGACGUGAUCCGCCGGGCCAAGCAGGACCUGGAGCGGCUCAAGAAGAAGGAGGUCAGGCAGCGGAGAAAGAGCCCCGAGAAGGAGGCCUUCAAAAAGAGGGCGAAACUGCAACAGGAAAACAGUGAGGAGACGGACGAGAACGAGGCUGAGGAGGCCAGGCCCAGGCUGAGCGAGGAGGCCCCCUGGCCACCCCUAAUGCUGCUUGGUGCCCAGGAGGAGGAGGAGCGAGACGAGAGUGGCUGUGAGGAGGAGGAGGGGCGUGAGGACGAAGACGAGGACUCGGGCAGUGAGGAGAGCCUGGUGGACUCGGACUCGGACCCUGACGAGAAGGAGGUGAACUUCCAGGCAGACCUGGCCGACCUGACGUGUGAGAUCGAGAUCAAGCAGAAGCUGAUCGAUGAGCUGGAGAACAGCCAGCGGCGGCUGCAGACUCUCAAGCACCAGUAUGAGGAGAAGCUGAUCCUGCUGCAGAACAAGAUCCGAGACACGCAGCUGGAGCGCGACCGCGUGCUGCAGAACCUCAGCACCAUGGAGUGCUACACGGAGGAGAAGGCCAACAAGAUCAAGGCGGAUUACGAGAAGCGCUUGCGGGAGAUGAAUCGGGACCUGCAGAAGCUGCAGGCCGCGCAGAAGGAGCACGCGAGGCUGCUCAAAAACCAGUCCCGCUACGAGAGGGAGCUGAAGAAGUUGCAGGCCGAGGUGGCCGAGAUGAAGAAGGCCAAGGUGGCCCUGAUGAAGCAGAUGCGUGAGGAGCAGCAGCGACGGCGGCUGGUGGAGACCAAGAGGAACCGGGAGAUUGCUCAGCUCAAGAAGGAGCAGCGGCGACAGGAGUUCCAGAUCCGAGCCUUGGAGUCCCAGAAGCGGCAGCAGGAAAUGGUCCUGAGGAGGAAGACCCAGGAGGUCUCAGCGCUGAGGCGCCUGGCCAAGCCCAUGUCUGAGCGGGUGGCCGGGCGUGCGGGACGGAAGCCACCCAUGCUGGACUCGGGGGCCGAGGUGUCGGCCAGCACCACCUCCUCUGAGGCCGAAUCAGGGGCCCGCUCUGUCUCCAGCAUCGUGCGCCAGUGGAACCGCAAAAUCAACCACUUCCUGGGGGACCACCCUGCGCCUGCUGUCAACGGCACCCGUCCUGCCAGAAAGAAGUUCCAGAAGAAGGGGGCGAGCCAGAGCUUCAGUAAGGCUGCAAGGCUCAAGUGGCAGUCCCUGGAGCGGAGGAUCAUUGACAUCGUCAUGCAGAGGAUGACCAUCGUCAACCUAGAGGCUGACAUGGAGCGGCUCAUCAAGAAAAGGGAGGAGCUGUUCCUCCUGCAGGAGGCGCUGCGGAGGAAGCGGGAGCGGCUGCAGGCCGAGAGCCCGGAGGAGGAGAAGGGGCUGCAGGAGCUGGCGGAGGAGAUCGAGGUGCUGGCGGCCAACAUCGACUAUAUAAACGACAGCAUCACCGACUGCCAGGCCACCAUCGUGCAGCUGGAGGAGACCAAGGAGGAGCUGGACUCCACGGACACAUCAGUGGUCAUCAGCUCCUGCUCCCUGGCCGAAGCCCGCCUCCUGCUGGACAACUUCCUCAAGGCAUCCAUCGACAAGGGGCUACAAGUGGCACAGAAGGAGGCCCAGAUCCGGCUGCUGGAGGGGCGGCUGAGGCAGACAGACAUAGCGGGUUCCUCCCAGAACCACCUGCUCCUGGAUGCCCUGCGAGAGAAGGCGGAGGCACACCCUGAGCUGCAGGCCCUCAUCUACAACGUGCAGCAGGAGAAUGGCUAUGCCAGCACCGAUGAGGAGAUCUCCGAGUUCUCCGAGGGGAGCUUCUCCCAGUCCUUCACCAUGAAAGGUUCCACCAGCCACGACGACUUCAAGCUCAAGGGUGAGCCCAAGCUGUCUGCCCAAAUGAAGGCCGUGUCGGCCGAGUGCCUGGGUCCCCCGCUGGAUAUCUCCACCAAGAACAUCACCAAGUCCCUGGCCUCCCUCGUUGAGAUCAAAGAAGACGGAGUGGGCUUCUCCGUCCGAGACCCCUACUACCGGGACAAGGUCUCGCGAACCAUCAGCCUGCCCACGAGGGGCAGUACCUUCCCCCGGCAGUCUCGAGGCACGGAGACAUCCCCUCUGACCCGAAGGAAGUCGUAUGACCGAGGGCAGCCCAUUAGGUCCACGGACGGGUUCACGCCCCCCUCAUCCCCUCCUACCCGGCCCCGCAACGACCGCAACGUCUUCUCUCGUCUCACCAGUAAUCAGAGCCAGGGGUCAGCACUGGACAAGUCUGAUGACAGCGACUCCUCUUUGUCGGAGGUCCUGAGGGGCAUCAUCACCCCCGUCGGAGGAGCCAAGGGUGCGAGGACGGCCCCGCUGCAGUGCGUCUCCAUGGCCGAGGGCCACACCAAGCCCAUCCUCUGCCUGGACGCCACGGAUGAGCUGCUGUUCACGGGAUCCAAAGACCGCAGCUGUAAGAUGUGGAACUUGGUCACGGGCCAGGAGAUCGCGGCCCUCAAGGGCCACCCCAACAACGUGGUGUCCAUCAAGUACUGCAGCCACUCCGGGCUUGUGUUCUCCGUGUCGACCUCCUACAUCAAGGUGUGGGACAUCCGGGACUCGGCCAAGUGCAUUCGGACCCUCACGUCGUCGGGCCAGGUGAGCUCCGGGGACGCCUGUGCGGCCACGUCCACGCGCGCCAUCACCAGCGCCCAGGGCGAGCACCAGAUCAACCAGAUCGCCCUGAGCCCUUCGGGCACCAUGUUGUACGCCGCCUCGGGCAACGCCGUCCGCAUCUGGGAGCUCAGCAGGUUCCAGCCGGUGGGCAAGCUGACUGGCCACAUCGGCCCCGUGAUGUGCCUGACGGUCACCCAGACCGCCAGCCAGCACGACCUGGUGGUGACCGGCUCCAAGGACCACUACGUCAAGAUGUUCGAGUUGGGGGAGUGUGUGACGGGCACCAUAGGGCCCACCCACAACUUCGAGCCCCCGCACUACGAUGGCAUCGAGUGUCUGGCCAUCCAGGGAGACAUCCUGUUCAGUGGCUCCCGGGACAAUGGCAUCAAGAAGUGGGACCUGGAGCAGCAGGAGCUCAUCCAGCAAAUCCCCAAUGCGCACAAGGACUGGGUGUGCGCCCUGGCCUUCGUCCCCGGCCGCCCCAUGCUGCUGAGCGCCUGCCGCGCGGGCGUCAUCAAGGUCUGGAACGUGGAUAACUUCACGCCCAUCGGCGAGAUCAGGGGCCACGACAGCCCCAUCAACGCCAUCUGCACCAAUGCCAAGCACAUCUUCACCGCCUCCAGUGACUGCCGGGUAAAGGUGUGGAAUUACGUCCCCGGACUCACCCCCUGCCUUCCUCGCCGAGUCCUGGCCAUAAAGGGCCGAGCCACCACCCUGCCCUGACCCCCCUCCCGUCUCCUCUGUCAUCCUCCCCUCUUUCCUCUUCCCUCUCUUUCUCCGCCUCGGUCUGAGCUGCUUCUCAACGUGACCUGACGGUGAAGUUCUGGAGCGUACGGCGGUUGCCCGGUGGCCCACCCUAGGAGCACACAGCAGUCCUCACCCUGGCUGUCUUUCCGAGGAUGGCCCCCAGACCCUCGGCACCCCCCGGAGCCUGGACAGCACAGAAGGGGAGCUGUGGUCUGACGGGGCCCCCAGCCCUGGGGACACAGGGUGUGGGCAUCGGCGAGGCCGCUCUCCUGCUCCGGCCUCUCCCCUGACCUUCCUAGGGAUGCUCUUCCCCUGGGCCCUCCCCUGCCUCUUGGGGAGAGAAGGAGGUUGGGGAGGAAUUUAAGCUGUGAAGCCAAAGGGCAUUCAUUCCCCCUGCCAUUUCUCUCCCCGCAGCCCCCGGGGCUCCCCUCGCCGUCCCUCUGGCCACAUUUUCUCCUGCGUCCUUAAGCCUCUGGCCCAGGGCUGGGGACCCGUAGGGGAGGGGAGGCAGCCCAGCCCCUGCUAUGCCCCUCCCGACAGGAACAGGCCUCCCCCUACAUCCCCUCGUCCAGCCUCUGGAGCCACUGCACCUGCCUCUGAGCCCAAAACGAUAGUCCUCAGGUAACCACGGAAACCAGGUGUAGGCAGCUGGGCCCUGCAGCUGACCCUUAGCCCCUUGGCCACCAACAGCCACCCCCAGUUGACCCCGGCAACUCCUUGGGGUCCCUUUCUGAUGGGGCCGAGGUUGAGCUGCUAAAAAAAAAAUUCCUUUGGGGAGAUGGUCAGAAACACUUCAGCUAUUUAAUUUAUUAUUAUUAUUAUUUUAAUUUUUGGUUUUUGCUGUUGCCUCCUGGAAACUGACUUGAAGUUUCUCCCCGGAUGUUCUUUCCCUCAGCACUCGCGGGGGGCUGGGGGGGCCGGGAGUCCCAAAGGGAACCGCCCUGCCAGCCCUCCGGGGCCCCCUCCUCUGUUGGCUUCGCAGCUCGGGCCUCCCCAGCCCUGCCCCCAGGGACCGUCCCGCUGCCCCCCGACCUCUCGGCCGCCUGACGCUUCAGUGCCUUCGUCCACCCCGGGCCGGGCAGCCUUACAGCAGCCGUGCCCGCGGCACCACAUGUGCCCGCUGCCCCUCGGAGGCGGGGGAGCUGCUCCCCGGGGCCCGGGGCGACCCCCCUCCCCGAGGCCUGUUGGGGCCACGUAGGAAGCAGCUCGGAGGAUCGAGUCUGCCGGGAGGUGGCUGGGACGGUGCGGACGGCCCAGCCUCCCCCCCGGCUCCCCUGGAUGUUCAGCCCCGACAGAGCAGGGGUCCUUCCGGCCGCUUUCUCUCUGGUUAUUCAGGAGACACAUUUUCAAGCCUUAAAGCUGGCACGGGGCCGCGGGCCCUCCCCGCCGGAUGGCGGUGACGAAGGAGUCCCUGGAGUUUCCUUUCGCUUGGGGCGCAGGCCUCGGCCCGGGGUGCGGGGAGAGCCGCCUGCCCGUGCCCCCUGUUGGGGCAAUUCUGCAUUCACAGGCUGGGCCUCGGGAGGAGUCUCGGCGCCCCCCGCCCCGCCCCACCCAGUGUUCUCCCAGCCCUUGCCCGCCCUUGUGCUUCCUGUCCCCGUCCCGUCCCCGUCCUGUCCCCGUCCGGGGGGCCAGGAGCCCACCUCUGUUCUGAGACGUGCAGUGACUUGGGGGCCUUCGGGAGGUAGCUCUGUGUGUCCUCCGUGCCUGUCCCUGCUGGGCCCGGCGGGGAGCCCCCACCCCACCCCCAGCUCGGAGCUGCCCCCGAGGCUGAGAACGCUGUGCUGUGGCCCCUGGCACCCGGCGGUGGAGUCGGACCAGCCUGGAGGCCUGGCCUCCUGCACCCGGGGACAGUCGCCUGCGCCGGCCAGGCCACCUCCCAGCCCCGCGGGGUGCUCGCCACUCCUCGGCCCCCGCGGGAGCAGCCGCCUCCCCCCCCCUGCACCUGUAAGACAGACCCCCUGUGCGUGACUGUUCACAGACUGCGAGACCCAGGACGCGGCGGCCGGGCCCCCGGGGGUCGCAUGGCGGUGCCAGCGAGAGGUGCCCGGCCUGCGGGAGGUCCGACGGGGCAGCUACCUCACGGCGGGCCGGCUCCGCUGUCCGGGCCACUACCUUGGACUCUGAACUUGAAGUCCCUCGGGAGCCCCGAGCUCUUCCGGAAGCUGCGCUCCAGGAGCCCGGCGCCCCUGCGUCCUGCGCCGGGGACGGGACAGGGACGCCCAGGGACACGGUGAGGGGGCGGGCCCCCGGCAUCCUCAAGGUCGGAAGCACAAAACGGUUGUGAUUCGAGCACAGACGGCAAGGCCGCGGCGGUGGCGGGUGGCGGGGCCGGGCUGGUCCCACCGGGCACCCCCGCUCUGGGGAGGCAGCUCCUCGCGCGGACCCGGCCCAGCACGGCCUGUCCUGCGCCCGCGGCUCGUCGUCCUUGGCUUUGUGCCCAUUGGCAACUUGCGUGUGGCCGGCGCCGUCAGCACACCCCAGCCGGCAGGUGCCUCGGCCGGGCCCUGGGCUGUGAUCGCGUCCCCAAGGUGGCACCUGCCGCGGCCUGGGCAUCGCCGAGGAGAGGCACGCCCAGGCUUUGAGGUGGCCCGGGUGCCCCGUCCAGGCCCUCGGGAGGGACCUCGUGGCUCCGGGAGCCGUCUGGACGGCGGCUUCAGCCUGGGGUGGCCGUGGUUGGGUGGCCCUGCUGCCUCCCCGGGGCGGUGUCGCCGGGCGGAGGGCCGUUUGAAGCACAAAGCCACCGUAGAGGGCAGACUGUCGCUGCGACUCUCACCCCCCCCCCAGGGUGGUGGCCAUGUAGGCGGCCACUGCUGGGAUUCAGGGAGGCCCUGCUCUCUUCCCGCCCCUUGGGGCACCACCCCCCCGGCUGCGGGCCCCAGCCUGUGCCCGGGGUGCUGCUGCGGGAGAUCGGCGAGUCACCUCCCCCGAGUGGCCCCGCCGCGGCCCGUUUGCCAACCCAGACAGGAAGCCGCCCGGCGGCCCGGCCCAGCCCAGGCUGUGGCCCCACAGGCCUCCCGGGGCUGGCCUUGCCCUCGGGCUCCCACUCCUACGCCCAGGACAGAACCUACGAGGACAGCUCUGUUUCCUGGGGCGUCCUCGUCCCCCGCCCAGCCCAGCGCCCCGGUGGGCCCCCAGGCCUCGUCCCGAGGGCUUUGCAGGGAAGUAGGAACAACUCCAAGAGGAGCCGACGGUCAGAGAAGACCCCCCAAGUGAAUCAGGGCCCUGCCCUGCCACCAGCUCUUUUCUAGGGGUCACCCCGUGCCCAGGCUGCGGGGUCUCACCCGGCUGACGCCCUCCUCGCUAUGCGGCUAGCACAAGUUGUAUAUAUGUUUUGUACCUCUGCUGAUGACUGUACAUAGUGUACGAAAGUUAUUUAAGCCUCAUGCUGUACAUUUCUGUUCCUAGACCGGAUGUGCGUGUGUUCUAAGUUGUCCUAAAUAAAACCCGAAUGACCAUC